UGCGUAGGCGGCUCUCUAAGUCGGAUGUGAAAACUCUGGGCUCAACCCAGAGCCUGCAUCUGAAACUGGAGGGCUAGGGUUCUGGAGGGGAAAGCGGAAUUCCUGGUGUAGCGGUGAAAUGCGUGGAUAUCAGGAGGAACACCGGUGGCGAAGGCGGCUUUCUGGACAGAUACCGACGCUGAGGCACGAAAGCUAGGGGAGCAAACA
rnacentral:rRNA from 1 species